CAAUUACCCGAUUACCCGUUCCCGUUAUCCUCACUUUACGUCCCUAAACACCUAUCAUAAGGGACCUAGCCUAAGGAUCAUCAUCGGGACGGACACUACUGCUAAGGGGAUUCCUCAGCAAUAAAUGUCCUAAAGGCAACCAUGUAGGGGAUGGAGUACACCGGUGAACAUAUCGUUCACAAACACCUACAGGUUGCGAGCCUGCUAGUGUUCCACUGGACUGUCUAGAAGAGUCCGUGGUCGUCAUCCAUACUCCGCUAGAUGACAGAAUCAACAACAUCAACAUCGAGGCCUCUCAUCAUUUUAUCACACAUCACCUAUUGCAUCUACCCAUGUUUUACCCCAACAUUUUCGUAGAUAUAAAAUACAUAUACAGUUUAAAUCAUUGAAAACAUGUAUAACAACGUUCAUCUAGCAUAGAUAGCAAGUAUUCAGAUAAUAUGCACACAUAGCACGUAAUUUAUAUAAAAUACUUCAUAUCUAUGUGUAAGUUGAAAGUAACUAUGCACUCACUUGUUAAGGUGAUGAUUCCAAAAUCGGGCAGCGCUUGCUUCUAACGAUUCUAUUUUCCUUCGACGAAACCUAGCAUUAUUAUCGCUAAAUUUUAGUCUAAUAUUUACCGUGACCAACUAUUAGUCUUAGUAUUAUUAUUAUUAUAUAAGCGUUAAACAAUAUUUUCCAACCACUAUGUACAGACAGGGGCCAGACAUAAAACACCGGAGGGCAGGACCAUUUUGGCAUAUAGCACUUCUGAAAUCCAACAACCCUAUGCGGCCCUUUAAACCAGAUUCCCCGUACCGCGAGUAGUUAAAAAAAAUAUUAUAACGACACUUAUAUAAGUUAUAAUAAUAGCUCAAAUAUUUAUUAUAAGUUCAUAAUAACAAUACUAAUUUUAAAUAUAAGCUAUAUUAAAAUAAGGUAAGCAUAACUUACUUACAAGGGGGUUUUAGCUAGGAGUCGGGCUCUGCAGGGGCAGAACUUCGUCGCUGAAUCUUUCUAAGAAAGAUUCGUGCAGCGCUUCAGCGCUCACCUUACUAUACUAAGCUACAGAAAGAGAAGUCGAAUCACGAGGGACCGAAAUGCUCGGGGGAUAAGGAGAGAAAGACUCUUGAAUCAAGAGAAUGGUGCAAGAAAUAUGAGAGCCCAAGGCUCUUAUUUAUACUAAUUGAAUUUUCAAAAACUACCCUCCAUAAUUACUUAAUGACCUUUUAGUUAUAUAAACAACUAAACACCCCUCUAUAAUACUAUUAUAAAUGGAUUUAAUGAUAUUUGUACUAAACUAAUGUCGAAAGAACUCAACAUUAGUCUUAUAAUGACCGCAUCGUCGAUACCUUUCUAAUGAUAUAUACAUAUGUAUAUAUAUGUGUACGUAUACAUGAUUUAUACUUUAUUUUAAUACGUAAAUAUGCUAUUAUAAUUUGUAACUCGUUCAUACGAACUCCGUUUUUGACGUUCUUUAUAUCCACGCGUAGGUGAAGACGUACUCUACAACUUUCGUUUAGACUCCGUCGGCUAAUUUUGACUUUAUUUUUAAAGUUAUAUUUUUAACAAGCCGGGACAGGAUUGGUCUGUUUAAAAUCUCAUAACUUCUUCAUACGAAGUCAGAUUUGGGCGUUCUUUUUAUCGAUGUUCUUAGUUUAACAUAUUCUACGACUUUCGUUUAGAUCACUAAGGCUAAAUCUCGCUCUAUCGUAAAUUCACUAUUCACGCUUCCCGGUAUCGUGCCGGUUCUGUCGUGAAACUUCGACGGGUCAUAACUUCUUCGUUAUAACUCGGAUUUCGGCGUUCCUUAUAUGCACGGAAACCUUGAGACAUAUUCUACAACUUUAUGUAGAGAUAUCGGGAUUAUCUCACACUUUAAUUUUGACGCUCAUUUUUAUUCUUUAUUAAUUAUACAUUUAUAAUUAAAUAAUAAACACAUAUAAUUCACAUAAUACUCAAAUAUUUCAUCUUUAUUACUUCAAAAAGAGUUACAAGAGUUGACCUAGACUAUUACAUUGACAAAAAUGCUUAGCCCUGAAACCCGGGCGUUACAAUUCUCUCCCCCUUAGGAUGAUUCCGUCCCGGAAUCAUGCAUCAGCAAACAGAUGUGGAUAGCGACUCAUCAUGUCAUCCUCUGUUUCCCAAGUGAGAUUCGGCCCAUUCGAAUGUUUCCAUCGGACUAGCACCAAGUCGACCAUCUUGCGUCGUAACUUCUUAGUCUUACGGUCAACAAUUGCCUCAGGCUCUUCGAUCAACCUUUUAUUUUCAUCCAUCCUUAACUCUGAGAUUGGAAUUAUGUCGGGAACAUCUCCCGUGAAUUUCCUCAAAUAACACACAUGGAAGGUGUUAUGAAUACCAUUGAGUUCUUCGGGCAAUUCCAGCUUGUAAGCUUGGUUCCCUAUCUUCUGAAGAACUUUGAACGGUCCAAUAAACCUUGGACUCAACUUUCCUCGUUUCCCAAAUCGUAUAAGUCCCUUCCACGGUGAGACUUUAAGCAAAACGGAAUCCCCAACUUCGAAAGUUAUCGGUCGUCUUUUCUUGUCAGCAUAGCUCUUCUGACGAUCCUGGGCUGCUAACAUCCUUUCCCUAAUCACCUUCAACUUCUCAGCAGUCUCAUGGACUAUCUCGGGGCCCAUAAACUGCUUCUCUCCGGCUUCAAGCCAACAAGACGGCGUACGACACUUCUGCCCAUACAAGGCUUGAUAAGGAGCCAUCUUGAUGCUCGAGUGAAAACUAUUGUUGUAGGAAAAUUCUACCAGAGGUAAGUGCUCGUCCCAAUUCCCUUGGAAUUCGAGGGUACAUGCUCUCAGCAUAUCUUCCAGCGUCUGAAUCGUUCUUUCGCUCUGACCAUCAGUUUGCGGAUGAUAAGCAGUACUCAAACACAACUUUGUACCUAACUCCUCUUGUAGACUCCUCCAAAACCUUGACGUGAAACGACUAUCACGAUCUGAUACAAUCGUAAGAGGGACACCGUGAAGUCUUACAAUUUCCUUCACGUAAGCAUUUGCGAGCUUAUCCAUAGACCACUUCUCGUUGGCUGCUAUGAAGUGUGCACUCUUGGUGAAACGAUCCACGACUACCCAAAUCAUGUCGUGACCGUUCUUCGUCCUGGGCAGUUUAGUCACAAAAUCCAUGGUGAUGUCUUCCCAUUUACCCAUGGGUACAGGUAAAGGUUCUAAACUCCCAUACGGUUUCUGAUGUUGUGCCUUAACCCUCGCACAUGUUACGCACUCGGCCACAUACUUCGCAACAUCGAGCUUCAUCGUCGGCCACCAGUAGUAGGGUUUUAGGUCCCUAUACAUUUUAGUGCUACCGGGAUGAAUCGAGUACAUGGUCUUGUGUGCUUCUUCCAUCAGAAGAUCUCUUAUUCCUCCCGUCUUAGGUACCCAAAUUCGAUCUUGGAAUACCUUCAGUCCUCGACUGUUUGUACCAAACACUAACGUUCUUCCCAAACGUUCUUCCUUUCGGUCAUUUUUCUCUAAAGCUUCUUCUUGAGCUUUCCUGAUACUUUCCACAAUCGUCGAGACGACUUCAAUUCUUAACGCUCUUGGCCUUUUCCUUUCCAGAUUGACUUUCCGACUGAGAGCAUCAGCAACAAUAUUUGCUUUACCUGGGUGGUAAAGUAUCUCACAGUCGUAGUCCUUGAGAAGUUCUAGCCAGCGUCGUUGCCUCAUGUUCAACUCCUUCUGAUUAAAGAGAUACUGGAGACUCUUAUGAUCAGUGAAGAGCUUGCACUUCGUGCCGUAGAGGUAAUGCCUCCAUAUCUUUAAGGCAAAAACUACCGCUGCCAACUCCAGAUCAUGAGUGGGGUAGUUCUUUUCGUGCUCUUUCAAUUGUCGAGAUGCGUAUGCUAUCACCUUUUCUCUUUGGGUCAGAACACAACCCAACCCGACUCCAGAAGCGUCACUAUAAACCGCGAAAUCUUCGACUCCAUCGGGUAGAGAAAGUAUCGGUGCUUCACAUAACUUCUUCUUUAGCUUCUCGAAUGCCUCAUCGUGUUUCUCACUCCACGUAUACGUAGCUCCUUUAUGAGUCAAAGCUGUUAAUGGAGCAGCUAUCGAAGAAAAGCCUUGGAUAAAUCGUCGAUAAUAUCCGGCUAAUCCUAGAAAGCUUCGAAUCUCCGUGGGACUCUUUGGACGUUCCCACUUCAUUACAGCCUCGAUCUUUGCGGGGUCAACCAUUAUUCCCUCCUGGUUAACAACAUGACCCAAGAAUUGGACUUCCCGUAUCCAAAAGUCGCAUUUGGAGAACUUUGCAAAAAGCUUCUCCUUCUUCAACACUUCUAAUACUUCCCGUAGAUGCUUGCCAUGCUCCUCUUGGCUUUUCGAGUAGAUGAGAAUGUCGUCGAUGAACACUAUCACGGAUUUAUCGAGGAAUGGUUUACAAACCCUAUUCAUCAAAUCCAUGAAUGCUGCGGGAGCAUUGGUUAGCCCGAAUGACAUAACCAAGAACUCGUAGUGUCCAUAUCUCGUUCUGAAUGCAGUCUUCUCAAUAUCCUGCUUUCUCACCUUUAGCUGAUGAUAUCCUGACCUAAGAUCGAUCUUUGAGAAGUAGCUCGAACCUUGCAGCUGAUCGAAUAGGUCAUCAAUCCUCGGCAAUGGAUACUUGUUCUUCACCGUUGCCUUAUUCAGCUCUCGGUAGUCUAUACACAUUCUCAUACUUCCGUCCUUCUUCUUCACGAAUAACACCGGAGCUCCCCAGGGUGAUGAACUAGGUCGAAUAAAACCGUUGUCCAACAGCUCCUGAAGUUGCGUCAUGAGCUCCUUCAUCUCCGUCGGUGCUAAUCGGUAAGGUGCCUUUGCUAUCGGUGUUGUUCCUGGUAACAAGUCUAUACGAAACUCCACUUGCCUAUCAGGUGGUAAUCCGGGAAGAUCUUCGGGAAAGACUUCCGGAUAAUCACACACAACCGGUAUAUUCUGCACCUCUUUCUUCUCCUUCUUGGCAUCGAUUACGAAUGCCAAGUAUGAUGCACAUCCUUUGGACAAACAUUUCCUGGCUUUCAUCAGGGAGAUGAUUCCAGAAUUCACUCUGCGUUUGUCCCCAUACACCAUAAAUGAUUCUUUUCCGGGUGGGUUUACCUUUACUAUCUUCUUUCGGCAUUGAAUCUCAGCAUCGUUGGCGCUAAGCCAAUCCAUACCCAAAACGAUGUCGAAACCGUUUAACUCUAUGGGUAAUAGCUCUUCGUGGAAUUCGUUUCCGUUUAGGUCAAUGACGAUGUUCCUAAUACGAUUACUAACAGGUACGAAUUUGCCACUGGCAACUUCUACAAUCAGGGCAUUAUCUAGUUUUUCUACAGGCAAUGCUAAUUUCCCACCAAAUUUAUGCGACACAAAGGAGUAGUUGGCUCCGGAAUCAAAUAGUAUAUUUGCAGGCAAACCAUUUACAAGAAAGGUACCUGAAGCGACGUCUGCUGCCUCCUUUGCAGCCUCGAGCGUCAUCUGGAAGGCUCUCGCCUUCGGCUUCGGUGGUAUGUUGGGUCUUCCUGUCUCCUUCUUCUUCGGGCAGUCCUUCAAAAUGUGCCCUUCUUCAUUGCACCCAUAACAGGCUUUCUGGUUGAGGGUGCAUUCAUUGGCGUAGUGCCCAGGCUUUCCGCACUUGUAACAAGUGACCCCUCCGUCACACUUCCCAGAGUGCUUCUUCUUGCACUUGUCACACCACUUCGCUUCUGAUCCUCCUCCCCUCGAACCAGACUUCGAGAAUCUACUCUUCUUGUUGGACUUCGAGGAUCCAUUGAACUUCCGUUUCUCACCAACCUCAGCCCUCUCCAGACCUCUUUCCUUUUGUUGGGUCUCCACGUUCUUAGCUGCUCGAACAGCUGAUUUCAGAGUGGUUGCCAUCUUGACUGUUGGGCCAAAGUCAGCCGGCAGUCCGUUUGCGAAUUUCUCAAUUUUGGAAAGUUCGGUUGGCACUAGGUAUGGAAACAACUUCAUCUUUUCCGUAAAUGCAGCAGCAUAGUCAUCGAUGCUCAUUCUCCCCUUCUUCAAAUUUUGGAACUCAUUGUUCAGAUCAAUCAGGUCUAUCUCUGAACAGUACUGCGCCUUCAGUUGUUCCAAGAACUCAUCCCAUGACAUUUUCAGAGCUUCUCCCCGUGGCAUUGUAUCUGCCAAUAGCUUCCACCAGCUCAAGACUCCAGUUUUCAAUUGUCUCACAGCGAAGACAGUCUUCUGCUUCUCGCUGCAGUCGCAGCUCUCAAACACCAUCUCCAUCUCGGAGAUCCAGUCCAUAAUCUCAACAGGCUUUGGGCUUCCUGAGAGACUUGGUGGUUUCGCACCCAAGAAAUUUUUGUACAUCCGCCCAUCCUUGUUGUUUCUCCCUUCUGGGCCAUCCUUUUGCUCACCUUGAGUCCCUACUUGACUCACUUGGCGGCUAUAGUUCCCUUCCUCAGAUGGCUCGGGAACUGGCUCCGUCGGUUCAACAUGUAUGGUAGGUUCGUCCCUAUUUUCGUGGAGCAUCCGUCUCAUUUCUUCCCUUUGUUCAGCUAGCAUAGCCUGAAUCAUGGCUUGAACUCCAGCCAUGGUGACUGGCUCAGGUGCAACUUCUUCAACAACAGGUAUUUGCUGAACCACUGGGGGUUGGUUCCUACCUCCAUUUGCGUUCACGUUUCCGCUACGGGUCCUUGCCAUCUUGAUCUAUACACCGAAUAAGGUGAAUUUAGAUCUUUAUUUAGGAUAGACGUUUUAAAUCGUCCUUAUCACUCCGAAACGUUUACAUGCUAGUUCUAAUAUCGUAGUCGUACGUUUAGAAUCCUAAACACAUAAGGUUUCCAGAUCCGGUCGGCAACAGACCAUAGAUCCGAACAAUUAACAGCAUAUUAUGCACAAAGCAUUUAGCACAUAAAAGCAUUUUAGGCACAAUUCCUAAAAUAAGCUAGUGCUCACACCUCACAAUCAUCGCUUAGCAUUCUAAGUUUAAGUCUAGAAAUCCUACAAAUUCCUAGUUCGCUUAAACUAAUGCUCUGAUACCAACUGUGACAUCCCCAAAAUCACGGCCAGAAAAGACCGGUUUGUUUAUGCUUUGUUUAAAAAUCAGAGUUACAUUUUAAAUGAAAGUGUUGCGGAAUUUGUCCCAAAACAAAAAUAUGAUAAAGAUUUAUCAAAAGCAUUUCCAUAGAAAUGUAUUUCAUUAAAAGACUCGGGAUGUCAUGUUCGUACAGAUCAAAAGCAUAAACAGUACAAUAUAAGCCUUACUACAUUAUUUCAUAUCUACAGGCCUAUAUCCGUAAUCCCUCGUCCAAAACAUCACACCUAUGCUCAUGCGCCACUACCUGUAAUACAUAAAACUGAGUGGGUCAGGCUUGGGAGCCUGGUGAGCACAUAGGGUUUUCAACCCACAAUAAAUAAGUUUAUUAAUUUCAUCGAUCAACAAUAACCCGAUUACCCGUUCCCGUUAUCCUCACUUUACGUCCCUAAACACCUAUCAUAAGGGACCUAGCCUAAGGAUCAUCAUCGGGACGGACACUACUGCUAAGGGGAUUCCUCAGCAAUAAAUGUCCUAAAGGCAACCAUGUGGGGGAUGGAGUACACCGGUGAACAUAUCGUUCACAAACACCUACAGGUUGCGAGCCUGCUAGUGUUCCACUGGACUGUCUAGAAGAGUCCGUGGUCGUCAUCCAUACUCCGCUAGAUGACAGAAUCAACAACAUCAACAUCGAGGCCUCUCAUCAUUUUAUCACACAUCACCUAUUGCAUCUACCCAUGUUUUACCCCAACAUUUUCGUAGAUAUAAAAUA
rnacentral:lncRNA from 1 species